GGAAGAGAAAAUUGGUUAGUUUUAAGUUUCAUUGUGGUACUUAAGUUCAGUCAAAAUUUUGUAAUUAUAAAUUUAGAUGACCCGAAAUUUGUCUGAAAGAUUCUGAAAUGUUUGGAAAUGCUGAUGUUCAUUGUUCCCUAUUGGGUGCGGUGACAAUAUAGCCCUGGUGUCUCUGUUAUCGAAGGUGCAACAGUUCAGGCACUCUAUCGUCAUCAGGUAUUAUUUUUAUUUUAUUUUUUUAAAACCUGCACAACUAACUUGCUCCACUAAUUGCUAGGACUAAUAUUUGGUAGCAUAUGCAAGAUAUACUGCUCUGGUGCCUGGUUACUGUAUGAUAUUUUAGUCCUUGUGGGAUAUAUGAUGGUACAAAGAGUUUGACUACAGGGCAAGGAGGACUAGAAGAGCGUCAGGGUUAUUUCCUAAUCUGUGAAUAUUUGUAUAUCUAGGCUAAAAGUUUUGAUAAUAGCUUGCUUAAAAGGACUCUCCAGUGCCAGAAAAACAUAUCCAUUUUCCUGGCACUGCAGGACCCUAAAUGUCCCCUCUCCCUCUCAACCCCCAUCCCAUGAUGCUGACGGUUAAAACCCCUUCAGUGAUUUACCUGAAUCCCGCCGACGACGGAGACCUAAUGCGUAAUGCGCGCGCCUUAGACCUCCCUACAGGAAAACAUUAUUCAUUGCUUUCCUAUGGUGAUUCCAGCAACGCUGGAGGUCCUCAUGCAUGGCGUGAGGACAUCCAGCGUAGUUUAAAACCCUUUUCGUGUUCUAAGAACACAGAACUCCCUCUAGUGGCUGUCUGAUAUACAGCCACUAGAGGUGGAGUUAACCCUGCAAGGUAAUUAUUGCAGUUUAUAAACACUGCAAUAAUUACACUUGCAGGGUUAAGGAUGGUGGGAGUUGGCACCCAGACCACUCCAAUGCGCAGAAGUGGUCUGGGUGCCUACAGUGUCCAUUUAAGCAAGUUGAUUAAAGCAGGAGUUGUGCAGAAUAAAUUCAGGAUACAAAUGAAAGGCAGGAUUAUAUGGAAGUACAAUAAACUAUCUUGAUUAAUGGCUGAGAUUUCCCUUUGGAAGAAGAUGACUGAAAUUUUAAGCACAAUAAUCAAAGGACUUAGCUUGUUGGAUAAGGGUGACGAAUAGUCAGAGUGACGUCACACGCAUGGGCGGGGCCCGAUCAGCAAAACCUGCAAGUGACUCCGAGGGAGUUCGCAGAUUGGUAAUCAUUACAGUGUGAGAGUAUUUGUCUGUGCAAUAGUGUUUGUAUGUGUCUGUGUGUGAGAGUGUGAC